ACCUGGGUGGCUUAGUUGGUUAAGUGUCUGACUCUUGGUUUCGGCUCAGAUCACGAUCUCACAGUUCAUGGGUUUGAGCCCCAUAUCAGGCU
rnacentral:tRNA from 1 species